rnacentral:rRNA from 1 species
GCCCAGACUCCUACGGGAGGCAGCAGUGGGGAAUAUUGCACAAUGGGGGAAACCCUGAUGCAGCGACGCCGCGUGAGCGAUGAAGUAUUUCGGUAUGUAAAGCUCUAUCAGCAGGGAAGAAGAUGACGGUACCUGACUAAGAAGCCCCGGCUAACUACGUGCCAGCAGCCGCGGUAAUACGUAGGGGGCAAGCGUUAUCCGGAUUUACUGGGUGUAAAGGGAGCGUAGACGGCGGCGCAAGCCAGAUGUGAAAGCCCGGGGCUCAACUCCGGGACUGCAUUUGGAACUGUGUGGCUGGAGUGUCGGAGAGGCAGGCGGAAUUCCUAGUGUAGCGGUGAAAUGCGUAGAUAUUAGGAGGAACACCAGUGGCGAAGGCGGCCUGCUGGACGAUGACUGACGUUGAGGCUCGAAAGCGUGGGGAGCAAACAGGAUUAGAUACCCCGGUA